CAGGAUGGAUACUAUAUGAUUCCAUUAUAUGCAGUAUCUAGGCAAAUUCACAGACAUAGAAAGUAGAAUAGAGGUUCUGGGGGGAGGGGAGGUGGAGAGGAUACAGAUACAGAAGCACACGUGCUCUGUCGGGUCUGACUCUGAGACCCCAGGGACUGUAGCCCGCCAGGCUCCUCUGUGCGUGGCAUUCUCCAGCCAAGAAUACCAGUCAGUGGGCUUCCAUUUCCUCCUCCAGGGGAUCUUCCCAACCCAAGGAUCGAACCCACGUCUCUUGUAUCUCUGGCAGAUUAGGGACUGGGGAGUUAUCUGCUUCCUGAGCACAGUUUCUGCUUGAGCUGAUAAAUGUUUGAAAGCAGCCUUGAUGGAUGCACAACAAUGUGAAUGUACUAAAGGCCGCUGAAUCACACUUACAAAUGGGCAGAAGGGCAAGUUUUUAUGUUGUAGAUAGUCUACCACGAUGAGAACACAGUUCCCUGUGGCUUCCCACCAUGGAGGGAUAAUAUAAACCAGCGACUGUUUCCUAGAGAAACUUCUUAGAGAAGAAACUUUAUCCCCUGAACCAAAGGCUGAGUUCUACAAACAGGUACUAUGGGAUGGUGGUUCUAGAGAGUUCUCCAUAACCCUUCAGGCCAGUUUCUUGGCUCCCCUCUCUCCCCAAACAGAGCCCGACUUAGAAGUGAUCCACAGACUGGAAUUCUCGUCCCAAGCUGUUAAGGCGCAACAGAGACACUCAGGUGGGGCCAAUAUUUCCCCUAGGCAGGCCCUUCCCCGAGGAUGCAGCGGAGAUGGGAAGGAUUUACCCAGGAGUCUGUGUGUCUUUGGGCCUGGGGGACGGGGCAGGCGCUGCAUCCUCUGCUUUCCUGGGACAAAGAGAAGAGGGGGUGUCCUGUGGGUCAGCUCUGCUGGGACUCCUGGUCCAGUCCAUCCUCCAACCCAGUUUCCGUCUGAAAGCUGACCACACCUCUUCCUAAUCCGAGCUUGUGGUGACUUCUCGGCCAUUUCUCCAGCGCAAGAUAGCCGGGCCACCGCCCAACAGAAGGGAUGGACUGGUUUCCUUCUUGUUCUUCUAUGAGACUAAACGGGUUGGGAUAUCAGAACAGCAAAUGAGCAUCUUGGGGGGGGGGUCCCCAGAAGCAGACACUCAGAAGAGGACUUGCCUGCGUGUGAUGACGUAUUAAGGACGUGCUCCCAGGAGAGGAAGUGUGCGGAGCAGACAGGGAUGGGAGGACUAAGCCAGCCAAGGGUGUGAUCACCAACAAAGCCUGAGUGUUCAUUACUGUGAAAUCACAAAACAGAAAACAAGUCUUCCCCUUCUCUCCUGUGGACAAAAAAAUUGUGUGGGGCUUCCCUGGAGGCUCAGUGGUAAAGAAGCUGCCUGCCAAUGCAGGAGACAGUGGUCUGAUCCCACAUGCCUCAGGGCAACGAAGCCCACGCACCACAACUACUGAGCCUGUGCUCACGAGCCGGGGAGCAGCAACUACUGAAGCCCACGUGCGCUAGAGCCUGUCUCCACGACGAGAGAAGCCCCACGGUGAGAAGCUCACACACGGAAACGAGGCAGCAGCCCCGCUCGCCGUAACUGGAGAAAAGCCCACACAGCAGCCAAGACCUAGCACCGCC